AGAGUUUGAUCCUGGCUCAGGAUGAACGCUAGCGGAAGGCUUAAUACAUGCAAGUCGAGCGGUAGGUGGCUUCGGCCAUUGAGAGCGGCGCACGGGUGAGUAACGCGUACAUGACCUGCCUGUCAGAAGGGGAUAGCCCUGGGAAACUGGGAUUAAUACCCUAUGGUAUUGAUGUUAUAGAUGAUAUCAAUUAAAGCUGAGGCGCUGACAGAUGGAUGUGCGUCUGAUUAGCUAGUUGGUAGGGUAACGGCCUACCAAGGCGACGAUCAGUAGGGGGCGUGAGAGCGUGGUCCCCCACACGGGUACUGAGACACGGACCCGACUCCUACGGGAGGCAGCAGUAAGGAAUAUUGGUCAAUGGAGGGAACUCUGAACCAGCCAUGCCGCGUGAAGGAUGACGGCCCUCUGGGUUGUAAACUUCUUUUGGAUGGGGCGAAAAAACGGGAUUUAUCCUGGACUGACGGUACCAUCAGAAUAAGCACCGGCUAACUCCGUGCCAGCAGCCGCGGUAAUACGGAGGGUGCGAGCGUUAUCCGGAAUUACUGGGUUUAAAGGGUGCGUAGGCGGAUGAUUAAGUCUAAGGUGAAAGUUUGUCGCUUAACGAUAAAAUUGCCUUGGAUACUGGUUAUCUUGAAUAAGGAUGAGGAUGGCGGAAUGUGGCAUGUAGCGGUGAAAUGCAUAGAUAUGCCAUAGAACACCAAUUGCGAAGGCAGCUAUCUGGUCUUUUAUUGACGCUGAGGCACGAAAGCGUGGGGAUCGAACAGGAUUAGAUACCCUGGUAGUCCACGCCCUAAACGAUGCUAACUCGAUGUUUGGUCGUAAGAUUGAGCAUCCAAGCGAAAGCGUUAAGUUAGCCACCUGGGGAGUACGACCGCAAGGUUGAAACUCAAAGGAAUUGACGGGGGUC
rnacentral:rRNA from 1 species